GAAGUUUGCUAGGCCGCCGCUGGCGCAAGUCCCGAAAGGGCGCGCUGGAGGAACGUCCGGACUGCAUAGGACAGCGUAGGAGCUAACGGCUCUCCACCGCGAGGUGAGGAUCAGAGCAACAGAGACGAGUCCCUUGGAACCAUCCGCUCCGGCGGCAGGAGCCUUGGGGGUGAAACGGGCAAUCUCUACGCGCAGCAACACCAAGUAGGCCAGCGUCGAUGUGGUUCCGCAGAGCUGGCGGGUAGGUGGCACCGAGCCAUCGGGUGAUCGAUGGCCAAGAUGAAUGGCGGUCACGUCGGGAACUUCGCAAGAGGCUUCCGACGCACAGAAUCCGGCGUAUCGGCAGACUUCACAA
rfam:Burkholderiales bacterium RIFOXYC12_FTLL_65_23 rifoxyc3_full_scaffold_110, whole genome shotgun sequence.